rnacentral:rRNA from 1 species
AACGUAGGAGACAAACGUUAUCCGGAGUUACUGGGCGUAAAGGGUGCGUAGGCGGCGCGGUAAGUCGGGUGUGAAAUCUCGGAGCUUAACUCCGAAACUGCAUUCGAUACUGCCGUGCUCGAGGACUGGAGAGGAGACUGGAAUUUACGGUGUAGCGGUGAAAUGCGUAGAUAUCGUAAGGAAGACCAGUGGCGAAGGCGGGUCUCUGGACAGUUCCUGACGCUGAGGCACGAAGGCCAGGGGAGCAAACGGG